rfam:Paenibacillus sp. TI45-13ar contig00096, whole genome shotgun sequence.
AAAGCUAAACAGACAAUCGCCGGUGACUUAUCGUCACGGGAGGAAAGUCCGGGCUCCACAGGGCAGGGUGCUGGAUAACAUCCAGUCAGCGCGAGUUGAAGGAUAGUGCCACAGAAAUGGACCGCCGAUGGCUGAUUUCUUCGGAAAUUAUGCACAGGUAAGGAUGGAACCGGGGUGUAAGAGACCCCGAGGAACGCUGGUGACUUCGUUCCUGGUAAACCCCAUCUGGAGCAAGACCUAAAGAGAUACGGCUUUUUUUCGAAAAAGCAGCCUUUGCCCGAGGUGUAUCGAGGUUGGUCGCUGGAGCCAAACAGUAAUGUUUGGCCUAGAUAGAUGAUUGUCGCCUAAAGUGGGAGGGUAGUUCCCGUCUGAACCACAAAAGGCACAGAACCCGGCUUACGAGAAGCUUUCCCC